AGGGAUAGCUCAUCAAGAGUGCACCAAAGUCCCACUUUAACCAUCCUAUCUAACUGUUUCUUUUCGACGAUUUCAUCACCCACAAGUUUGUCCAUAUCACCGUCCAGAAAACAUUGGUAAACCCACUGUUCGAGAACAGCUUCAUCCUCUGGAAGACUCCAAUCCACAUUCUUUCGACAACAUGUGAUCUCCAACAACAUAACUCCAAAGCUAUAAACAUCUGCUUUAACUGUCACCGGCAUAUUCCGGUGCCAUUCUGGUGCUACAUAUCCCCUCGUCCCUCUGAUUCCCGUGAAGGUAUUAGUUUGGUCUGACUUCAGAAUUUUUGCCAAUCCAAAGUCAGAAACUUUGGGGCACCUGCUUUCAUCUAUUAGUAUAUUCUGAGGUUUUAUAUCACAGUGGAUGAUCUGAGUCUCGCACUCUUCAUGUAGAUAAACAAUACCCCUUGCAAUGUUGCGAGCAAUUUCCAACCUUUCAUGGAAGCAAGGUCGUUUUUCAAGUGAGAAGAGUAUGUCAGCGAGGGAGCCAUUGCUCAUGUACUCGUAUACCAGGAGCCUGUGAUGUUCAUCAUGGCAAUAGCCGAGCAGACGGGCUAGGUUUCUGUGAUGUGUUUUCCCAAUGACUUUCAUCUCAUUCUGAAAUUCUCUUUCCCCUUCAGCUAGAACUUUCUCCAGUCUCUUGACAGCAACAACCUUCUGAGUACUUGAUAUGAUCCCUUUAUAAACUGUCCCAAAUGAUCCCCUGCCAAUUUCUUCCUUGAAACCACCAGUAAUAUUUUCUAGCUCUGCAUAAGUGAAAGCUCGAGGAGCAAAUAACCAAGUAAUACAAUAAAUAUAGCAUAAUAGUUUAAGGAAGAUUGCAAGUAGAUCUAACGACAACAUUAAUAGUUGCAUAUGUGUGUGUGUGAAGAUUCAAAAAAACCUAAUUUAGAAAAUACAAAAAAAAAAACCAAGUAAUGAUAGAAAAAUAGAAAGAAAAGUAUUAAAUUCUGUUUAGAUUGUUCACCUAACAAUUUAAAUUUAUUUAAAUUCUAUAUAGAUAUUGUAUUGCGAUUGGUCACGUACCGGUUUGGAUCCAUUUAGAUUUUGAUUUGGUUACCUAACAAUUAAAAUCCAUUUCAAUUUUCAUGUAUUAUCUUUUUAUAUAUAUAUAUAUAAAUUUAUUGUACAAAUAUAAUGGAAAAUGAAUUAUAACUGUUGUAAUCCAUUUUUUAUCUCUAAUUUUUCACAUGUAUUUUCAAAAAUAGAACAAAUCUUCCAAAAUAUAUUUUCAAUGAAAUUCAAUUAUUAUUUAUUUAUUAUUAUUUUUGUGUGCGUGACAAUAUAGAAAAAUAAAAAUAAAAUAAAAUUAAGGAAAUGAAAUGAAAGGCAAGAAAAACUUCAGACCGGUAUGAUUGAUGACUAAAUAAUAUAUGGAAAAUCAAGAUGAGAUUGGAAAAUUUUUGCAAAAAAUCAAUAAGAAGAUGAAAUAAAAUUUUAUAAUAGUAGUUUUCCUGUUUUGAGAGUAUCCCACAAACAACAUAUAUAAACAUGAGAGAACACUACACACACAAGUACACAGAGAUAGAGAGAUUAAAAAAGACAAGUAUACUUUUGGGCUCGUUCUUGGAGCUUACAAGCAAGUUCCAUAUAGGAAAAACCUUGGUCAACAAGAAGAAAAAAUGGCAAAAAUUAGAUUGCUCUCUGCAAGCGUAAUUCAAGCCACUGCUAACAAGGUGACAAAUGAGAGGGCUGAGUUGACUCAAUGUGAUCUAAAGCUUCUUCCGCUAGGUGCUUCUCUUCCUCAAACCCAAAUCAUCAGAAGAUCAAGACUUGUUCAUCCAACAGUUGAAAACGUCACUUUCUCGGACUCUAGAUUUCUUCACCCCUCCCGUGUUGGAAGUUAAAACCGGUGUGGUAUGGGAUCAACACAGUAAUACAAGAUAAAAAAAACUCAAGAACAAAGCUAAACAACAAGAAAAAGAAGGAGAGGAAGCUUGUUAGCCACUGUAGAACAUGAUGAUAACACAGUCUCCAAUUUCAUUGACUGCAAAAAUGCAGGAGCCCAGUUUGUUCAUGGCGCCAUGGCCGAUGGGGUAACCAUGGCUGACAUCCUCCGGCCAGUUUAUGUUCCUCCAAUUGUCCACUCUUUCUUUCCAUUGAAAGGGGUCCUAAACCACGGGGCUACUGAUGUCUCCAAGCCAUUGCAUGCCUGCAGUUCAAGUCACUGAACUUGUUGGUGGCAUCUUUAAUGGCUGUACCAUGAACCAUAUAGUUGUUGAUGGCACAUCGUUUUGAAAUUUCUUCAACUCUUGGUCUGAAAUCCAUCGUGGGUUGGAUCACAUCUCCAAGCCUCCUGUUCUUGAACGUUGGUCACCUCCCAAUCGUAGCUGCAGCUGCCUGAUCCAAAAGCAAUAAGCCGUUGCCUGCAUGCUUGUACCUUUUUUUUCUCCAAAAAAAUGGGUGUAUAAGGGGUAGUUUUUCCAGGCGUAAGACACGUCAUCCAUUAGUGUAUUUCCCGGUUAUUUUCAGUCCUAUAAAUGCAAGGUUUGAUUUACUAUAUCCCUAAAGCUUGAUUUUUAAGUAAUAUUCACCUGAAAACAUCCAAACAAAACUCAAUAAAUCUUUUUUGAAUCCAAAAUUAUCCUCUAAUCAUUCUAAAAAUUAAAAAUCAAACCAAAUGAAAAAAACAUUACAAGCCUUAAAGGGUGUUUGAGAGUGUGGUAGCGGUUGCUUUUCAAAUAGCUUUUCGUGCCGAAAAGCAUGCCAAUAAUAUUUUUUUAUUUUUUAAAAAUCAUUUUUGACAUUAGCACAUCAAAACGAUCCAAAAAAUACAAACCGCACUCAAUUUUAGCAAAAAAUAAAAAUAAAUUUUUUUUGAAUUUUUUCAAAAAGCCGAUUUGGCCGCAAUGCCAAACAGGCAAUUAAUCAAUCUAUCUGUCUAUAUAUAUAUAAAACUGAAAUAUAUAUAAAAAUUGAAAAUUGAAGAUUGCACUAUAUAUAACUAAAGAGUGCAAUUUACAUUGAAGAGGGAAAGUUCUUGCUUUUUUUUUUUUAAUUAUUAUUAUUAAUGUUGAUGUUCGGAUUAGCUUACUCGUACCUCAAUUAAUUUAAAAUGUUCUAAAAUUAACGACCAUGUAAACUCUUCUAGUGAUUCUAAGAUUUAUAAAAUUCAAACCGAUGAUUUUUAAAAAACAAGUCUAGAGUCUAAUUAAUUAAACUAUACCUUUUAAAAUUAAGUUAUUAUUCUUUUAUUCAUAUUGAUUAUUGACAUUUAGCGAAGAUUUGUUUUUUAAAAAUUCAUGUUUGCAUGACUCUCUAAAAGACCCUACACAAGUUCGAUUUUUCUUUUCUUUCAAUUAGAUUUUUUUUUUCUGUUUUCACUUUAAUUAAAUAGAGUCAGGUUGAGCAUCAUAUAUAUUGCACGAUACUCAUCUUAAUGAAAAUAGGAUGAGACUUGGCUAUUAUUUUUUCUAUUAACAAGCUUUAAUAACGUAAUUAUAAUGUAUGUGAAUGAUUGAAUUAUAUUUAAUCGAAUUGUCUAAAUGCAAUGAAUAUAGCAUUAAACUGACUAAAUUCUUUUCAUAAGGGUUUAUUUACUUAUUUAACAAUAAUUUUUAAACUUAAUCCCACAAUUAAUUUGAAUAAGUUUUAGAUCACGAGUCUAUUUAUUUUUUAUUUUAUAAAUGAUAAAAAUAAUAUUAUUUAAAAAAAUAAUAAGUUUUAAUUAAGCUUUUUUUAGAUUGACCAGAUUAUUGGUCAAACCAAGUUUUUUAUCUAGUCAUAUUGAGCUAAGUCUUCUUUUAUUUUUAUUGAAAUUGACUUAAUUAGAUAUCAAAUCACAACUCAACCCUUUAGUCUGUUGAAGUUUUAAAUUAAUGGAUUUAACACAAAUACAAGGUUUGAAUGGGGCUUCUCCAAGGAAAACUCGAAUAAGAGAGCUAUGUUUAGAUGGUGUUUGUGUGUGAGUUUUAAUUAAUUAAUUUUAUUAAAAUUUGAAUUUUUUUAAUUAUUAUUUUAGUAUUUUUUGAUUGUUUUAAUAUGGUGAUAUUAAAAAUAAAUUUUAAAAAAGAAAAAAAUAUAUAUUUUUAAUAUUUUUCAAAUACAAAAUAUUUAAAAAAAAUUAUUGAUAGACUGUUAAAUACUCUUUCAAAUAAAAAAUAUUUUUAAAAAAUAUAUUAAAAGCCCCCUUUAAGCUUACCAAAACCUCAGAGCAAAAAACAAGAAAGGAAAAGAGUAAAACAAAAUGGCUCCAGCCAAGAAAGGAAAACCGAAGGCAAACUCGGCCGUGUCAACUCAGUCAAAACCCACAGCCCCAAGUCCCCAAAACAAUUUCCCAUCUUGCAUACGUGCAGUCCCUCCUUCCUCCGUCGCCAUCACCAUCCACGCCAAACCCGGUUCCAAAUCCGCCUCCAUCACUGGUGGGUCUAUACACACGUGCAAAAGGACUGUUUUGAUUCUUGUUUAGGUUAAAAAAUUAAAGCUUCAAUGUGUUUUUUUCUUCCUGAUAUUGUAUGUAGAUUUGAGUGAUGAAGCGGUGGGAGUACAAAUAGAUGCACCUGCUAAAGAUGGUGAAGCUAAUGCUGCACUUCUUGAUUACAUUAGCUCUGUAAGUCUUUUUUUUUUCCCUUACGUUAUAAGUUGGUUAUUCGUUUUUAAUGUUUUGUGAUAGAGAAUUAUUGGCUUAAUUUUCGAGAAUUUUACAGGCAUGUGUGAUGUUAAUCAAUGCCUGUCAAAUUUUUUGAUGUUUCGGUACUACGCAUAUGGAGAGAAAUAUUUUGAGUUGGUACAGUUUUGGCUGAAUUUUCUAGAGGAAAGGAGAUUUGUAGCAUGAGGUCGGGAGACGAAAGUGGCUUUUUUUUUUUUUGGAGAGAAACGGUAGAACGGAUUCUUACGGUUCAUCAAAUUUUACAGGCAUGUGUGAUGUUAAUCAUUGCCUGUCAAUUUUUUUGAUGUUUUGGUACUACGCAUAUGGAGAGAAAUAUUUUGAGUUGGUACAGUUUUGGCUGAAUUUUCUAGAGGAAAGGAGACUUGUAGUAUGAGGGCGGGGGAUGAAAGUGGCCUUUUUUAUAUUUUUUUGGAGAGAAAUGGUAGAACAGAUUCUUACAGUUCAUGAAUUAAUUAGAGAGGGUUUUAUUUUGUCUUUGGGCUUGCAUGCAAAAGGAAUGGUGAAUCUAUAGUCCUUAUAUUUAGCCUAUCAGUAUUUUGAUGAUGGAUUUGCUGGAUUCUAGACAUGCGCAAUGAGUUAGAAAACAGCAUCAAUGUGCUUAAUGUAGAGUAUUUGGAAGCAGUCAAAUAUUGAUGCUUUUUUUGGGAUCAUGGCUCGUGUCCUUGAGAUUAUUUUGAAAGAGGGUUAUGCUGGCACUUUGUUAACUUCUAUUGGGAGUUUUUAUUAUGAUAGUGUAUCUGGCAUUUUCCUAUUUCAUCAAGUUGGUGUAAGUAUUUGAUGCAAGUUGAGGAUUGAGUUAAUUUUGAACGCAUAUGGUAAUAAUAAUUUUUUUACUGACCUUUUGAAACCAUGAAUUGCUAGGAAGAGUUUGAAAUUGAAAGAGGAUGAAAGAGUAAAUGCAUUAAGAGAGAGGAUGCGAUUUCAUGAGUGAUAUAAUCAACUGGGAUCCCUGGCUUAGCCCAAUAGUAGAUGAAAAGCUUCUCUCUUCCAUAGGAUAAGUGUGAUUUAGAGCAUUUAAUCUUCUGAAAAAAUAAUAAUGAGGUGUUUACUGUUCAAUCACAACUGUAAACAUGGUUGAAUAACUGAAGAGAGUUAUUUAUGAAAAUUAACAAAUUCUUGUCGUGAUAUCUUGCAUUUAGAUAGAGAACCUCCUCUGUUUUAGUACAGAAAAGGUUCACAAGUAUGGUUCUCUCAACCAACAGGUGUUGGGGGUGAAGCGGAGGCAGGUAUCCAUAGGCUCUGGUUCUAAAUCGAGAGACAAGGUGGUGAUUGUGGAGGAGGUAACUCUACAAAAUGUUUUUGAUGCUUUGGAGAAAGUGUCCAAAUGCUGCUAAUUUAAAAAGAAGAAGAGAGGUUCAGUGUGCUUUCGUUAACAAGAGAUAUGAUUUACAUGAUCUUAUACUGAACACAAGGUAUUUGGAUAGGACAACAUUCCUAGUCCACGCUGAUGUUUAAAAUAGUUUGGUCUGUAGUUUUGUUUCUUCUAUCUCACACUGAAACAAUAAUCUUUUUAUUUAAAACUGUAAGUACAGAAGCUGUAGUGUUACUUAUGAAUAUAAUGACUGAUGUUCCAUGAAUAUUCAAGUUAGAUGCUAAUUUAUUCAUCUUCACCAUGGUUCUUCUAGUUCUCAUUUUUCUUUAUGAUUUCUUCCCCCUUUUUUCUUAUGAAUUUCACUAAGAGAUCAUUAUAGCUAUACUUUUGCACGACAGGCUUGCUAAUACCUAGCGACAUGCUGUGAAAACCAUCUUAUUUUGUCCUCCAGCUUUUGAUUCUUCUGGCUGUUUUGCCAUUAAUAAUGCUAGAUUUAAGGUUUAGGUCCGCUGUUGUUAUUACCUGAUUUUUGUGUAAUUCGCCUAUAAAUGAAAUUACUCUCUAGUGAUAAAAGGAAUGGAGUGCAGAUAUUGUGUCAUGAACAAAAGGCUAGUAUUUGUUUAUUGCAGGAGCAAGAGAAGUCUCGGCUCAUACUUGGCCAGGAAAACAUUUAUCUUUUUCACACUGUAUAAGCAUUUUGUCAUGAGGGUAAUCUUAUUGAUUAAGAAUCAUCUAUCAGAAGUGGAGUAUCCUCAAUACAAGUUGUUGCAACUCUGAAGAACAUAUUGCUAGUAUUUGUUGAGACUUGAGAAUAGCAUUACCCAUCUAGAAACCUGGCCAAAAUUAUAGGCUUCAGUUUUCCAGCCAUAAUCCCGACACAUGAGAUAAGGUGGGUAACAACUUUACAGGCAUUAACAUUAGAGGAAAAAUCAACAGGAAGCUCCCAAAUGCUGCGUAAACAUAAAGGAACUCAGUACGAAAUAGCAAUUUUAUAAAGAAAAGGAAUACAUGACCUGAAAAAUAAAAUACCACACUCUGCAGAUGAAUCUCUUAUUCCGAACCACAAAACGCAGCUCAUAUAGCAGUAAAAAAAGAAGUAGGACUUGGAGGGAUUGGGAUUUCGACUGUCCCCUCCAACAUGAGGAGGACCUUUUUCAUUGAAGGGCGGAGGGAUGGCUCAUCAAGAGUGCACCAAAGUCCCACUUUAACCAUCCUAUCUAACUGUUUCUUUUCGACGAUUUCAUCACCCACAAGUUUGUCCAUAUCACCGUCCUGAAAACAUUGGUAAACCCAUUGUUCGAGAACAGCUUCAUCCUCUGGAAGACUCGAAUCGACAUUCUUUCGACAACAUGUGAUCUCCAACAACAUAACUCCAAAGCUGUAAACAUCUGCUUUAACUGUCACCGGCAUAUUCCGGUGCCAUUCUGGUGCUACAUAUCCCCUAGUCCCUCUUAUUCCGGUGAAGGUUUUAGUUUGGUCUGACUUCAGCAACUUUGCCAAUCCAAAGUCAGAAACUUUGGGGCACCUGCUUUCAUCUAUUAGUAUAUUCUGAGGUUUUAUAUCACAGUGGAUGAUCUGAGUGUCGCACUCUUCAUGUAGAUAAACAAUACCCCUUGCAAUGUUGCGAGCAAUUUCCAACCUUUCAGGGAAGCAAGGUCGUUUUUCAAGUGAGAAGAGUAUGUCAGCGAGGGAGCCAUUGCUCAUGUACUCGUAUACCAGGAGCCUGUGAUGUUCAUCGUGGCAAUAGCCGAGCAGACGGACUAGGUUUCUGUGAUGUGUUUUCCCAAUGACUUUCAUCUCAUUCUGAAAUUCUCUUUCCCCUUCAGCUAGAACUUUCUCCAGUCUCUUUACAGCAACAACCUUCUGAGUACUUGAUAUGAUCCCUUUAUAAACUGUCCCAAAUGAUCCGCUGCCAAUUUCUUCCUUGAAACCACCAGUAAUAUUUUCUAGCUCUGCAUAAGUGAAAGCUCGAGGAGCAAAUACCUCAUUCAAUGCAGUGCCAUCAUUAUUGGGCACCCUUUUAUAUGCCAAUACAUGAUAUCUGUAAACGAUGAUUCCGAAAAUCGACACCAUAGCAAGCCCAAAAACAACAAAUGAACCACUUAUUAUUCGGAUAGUCCUGCCACUGCCAAGGUUCUUCUCGGUUAUAGGCUCUUUUCUGUCCAUGGGUCUACCCACCUUGACGACAGCCAAGUUCGAACUGUCCAAGUUUCUCCUCCCAUAUCUCAAAGGAAACCUUUGCUUUCUGCAGUACUGCCCAUCAGUGAAUAAUGCUGCUUCACAGUUACAGUCUUCCAAACAGGCUUGCUUACAAUUGUCUUUCGUUGUUGAUGACAAAACGGAGUAUGAAACAUCUUCCCAGACAAUAUUAGACAGCUCUUCCAUGGUGUAUGUGCUACUUCCAUUCUUGUCCCUUGCAACUUACAGCAUCGAAAUCCCUCUCACAGCCAGAAGUCCAAUUUCCCUGGGUAACAAACUUAAAUCCAGGAAGACAAAUACAUUCAGCUUCCUGAUCCUUCAUAACACAAUAUCCAUUAAGACCACAUGAUCCUUUCGGGUCGCACUUGUUGCUUGUGGAUGACCACACAUCUGACCAGUUUCCAUUCCGUAUCAGAUUUCGUGAAUAUAAUCUGAAAAUCCCAUCAGCAUCAAGUUUCAUAAUAUUAAUUGUUUCUUUCGUGGGAUAUCCUCCAGCUGUAAUGUUUUUUAUGUUGAAUCCUGUGGAAUUGAGCAGGUAGAGACGGCCAUCCGGAUCAAGAUUUAGGGUCACAUCAUCUCCCUUCCCAUCAGUAAAAGAUGAAAAAUAAGAAUAUGGAGCUGUAUCUGGAGUAUUAACAGGAUACUGCACAAGGUUGCCAUCAUUUUGCAUCUUGAGUCGGUAAAUACCAGUUGAGAGGUCAGUUUCUGAAACAGGAGAAAACAGCUCUGCACCCGCUUUGAGCUGUUGAGUUGGCAAAAGGGUAUCUGUUGGGUGCUCAAAACUCUGCCAUAUAAUCUGGCGAUCAGAAUUAUAUAGCACAAAGUUGCCUGAAUCAGACAUAGAAGCUAAAGAAGCUGGCUGGGAAGCAGAAACUAUCGCAGUCUCACCCCCUUGUGCUGAUGUCAAGACAACCCUGCCAUCACUGGUGAAGUUCAAGGUCGCAUUACUGGGGACUGGGGCAUCAUCCCUUCUAGCAGCCCACACAACAUUCUGUAGUGAAAUCCCGGAUAGAAAAACCCCUAUAGAAUAGCCAUCGCGUUGUCGGAAAAAUCCGAAAGAAUAAAGACCGGAAGGUGACAACCAUGAGGAGUUUGUGAUAGGUGUUAGAGAAGAUCCCAGGGUUAUAUUGGUCUGUCUUUGAGCUGAAGCUGUAAAAGAUAAGGCGAGAAGAAGAAAAAAGAUGAUAGAAGCCAUGGAUAGGGAUUUAGCUCUUGUGUGGUAUGGAGUGUCAAUUUAAGGAUGUCUAUUGUUCCAGCACUCCAGUCUCUUUCUUUGGUUUCCAGCAGUCAAGCCAGGCACUCAAACAUAAAAGUCUAGCCAUAGAAUCCACCGCGUUUCCCUACCAAUUGGUGGAAAUUGUUGCUCUUACUUUUAUGCUUUCAAAGUCAAUGCAGUCAAGUCACCGAAAAAUCUUGGCAAUUACUUGGCUCUGGUCCACUUUUUCCAUCUUUUGUAUCCCCCAUUUGAACAGCCAUUUGCUAAUUUCCCCGUGACUAUUCUUGGUUCUAAUUUUCUGCAGCAGAUUCUUUUUAUUUGCCAAGUACCAUUCAAUACGCUUUGAAGACACGAUCUUUAGCUUCCUGCAGACAGCUUCAACUAGUUAAGAAACAUCGAUUGUGGUGCCAAUGGUAAUACCCUGGCAUUAUACUAGGGCAAGACAGAACAACUUGCUAGCUUAUAGAAAUGUCCCUCAAAUGCUAAAGCCUAGCUAGCAACCUCAGUUUCUAACGAAAGAGCAUCUCUACAUGUUGCGUAACUAACAAUCCCUUGAAUAUUAAAACUGAAAAGUGGAACUCAUUGGACCGUUGAUUUUAUGAUCAAUUCCACCGUACGACUUAAUUCAGAGUACAAUUGAGGUGGUCACGGCAAGGACUGAGUCAAGGGACAACCUAGCAUUUGCUGACCUGCUCUUCUCAGCAAAAGCUUCUUCUCUCACCAGCUUCAUGCCAUGGUUGCUGAUUGGAGGGGCUUUAUAAUUUAUUUAUUACAAAUGUGCUAUGAAAAAGAAAAAAAAUGCUAUGAUAUUAAAAAAAAAAAAAGAAUUUCCUCGUAGCUAUGAUAUUUGUGAUAUUAAUUAUGUUACACUUGUGAUCAUGUUGAUGAGAAUAAUAAUAAAUUCAUAUCGUUUUAGUAAUGUUUAUGUUAGCAAGUAAUGCUACUGAAGGUAAAGAAGCUGUGACGAAGAUGAUGGUGAUGUAAUGGUAAUGACGAUUAAAGUGAUUCAAAAAUAUUUUUCUUUUGAUAAUUUAUUAGUGUAUAUAUUUCAAAUGUUUAAGAUAUUUUUCAAAUAAAUGUACCUUAACUAUGAUAAAUGAUAUAUUCUCCGUUUGUUUGCAAUUUGAUUGUAAAGGCUUCCUUUUAACAUAAUUCUGCUUGAUAUACUCCAUGUAAUUACAAACUAAUUAGCUCAUUUUGGUCUUCUCACUUCUGGCAAUUAGUCAGUUUGAUGGCAACGUGCAACAAUGUACGGUCACCAACUGUUGUAUUGGACUUCGAUUCACCAAUAAUGCCCUGCAACUGAGUUUGAGCGUAGGAAUGGACAUUUGCAUUUUAGGCAAGGAAUUGCCUUGUAGAAUAGAAGAAGAAGAAGAAGAAGAAGGGGAAAAAACAAGCAAAGAUCAUAGUCUCAUUAAUUCUAUUCUUCGUAAAGAGCUCACUCUUGAGAUAACAUAAGAUCAACAAACGUUGUUUGUACUAAGAACACGUGAAGCUUUCAUGCUAACAUUUUCUUUUCUCCUCUUUAUAAAACUUUUUUUUUAAUAUAUAAGAUACGAUGGGAAACAACUUUACAGGCAUUAACAUUAGAAGAAAAAUCAACAGGAAGCUCCCAAAUGCUGCGUAAACAUAUAGCAAUUUUAUAAAGAAAAGGAAUACAUGACCCGAAAAAUAAAAUACAACACUCUGCAGAUGAAUCUCUUAUUCGGAACCACAAAACGCAGCUCAUAUAGCAGUAAAAAAAGAAGUAGGACUUGGAGGGAUUGGGAUUUCGACUGUCCCCUCCAACAUGAGGAGGACCUUUUUCAUUGAAGGGCGGAGGGAUGGCUCAUCAAGAGUGCACCAAAUUCCCACUUUAACCAUCCUAUCUAGCUGUUUCUUUUCGGCGACUUCUUCGCCCACAAGCUUGUCCAUAUCACCGUCCUGAAAACAUUGGUAAACCCACUGUUCGAGAACAGCUUCAUCUUCUGGAAGACUCCAAUCCACAUUCUUUCGACAACAUGUUAUCUCCAACAACAUAACUCCAAAGCUGUAAACAUCUGCUUUAACUGUCACCGGCAUAUUCCGGUGCCAUUCUGGUGCUACAUAUCCCCUCGUCCCUCUGAUUCCGGUGAAGGUUUUAGUUUGGUCUGACUUCAGCAACUUUGCCAAUCCAAAGUCAGAAACUUUGGGGCACCUGCUUUCAUCUAUUAGUAUAUUCUGAGGUUUUAUAUCACAGUGGAUGAUCUGAGUGUCGCACUCUUCAUGUAGAUAAACAAUACCCCUUGCAAUGUUGCGAGCAAUUUCCAACCUUUCAGGGAAGCAAGGUCGUUUUUCAAGUGAGAAGAGUAUGUCAGCGAGGGAGCCAUUGCUCAUGUACUCGUAUACCAGGAGCCUGUGAUGUUCAUCAUGGCAAUAGCCGAGCAGACGGACUAGGUUUCUGUGAUGUGUUUUCCCAAUGACUUUCAUCUCAUUCUGAAAUUCUCUUUCCCCUUCAGCUAGAACUUUCUCCAGUCUCUUUACAGCAACAACCUUCCGAGUACUUGAUAUUAUCCCUUUAUAAACUGUCCCAAAUGAUCCCCUGCCAAUUUCUUCCUUGAAACCACCAGUAAUAUUUUCUAGCUCUGCAUAAGUGAAAGCUCGAGGAGCAAAUUCCUCAUUCAUUCCCGUACUAUCAUUACUGGGCACCUG
rnacentral:lncRNA from 1 species